rnacentral:rRNA from 1 species
UACGUAGGGGGCAAGCGUUGUCCGGAAUCAUUGGGCGUAAAGAGCGCGUAGGCGGCCCGACAAGUCCGCUGUGAAAGUCGGGGGCUCAACCCUCGGAUGCCGGUGGAUACUGUCGGGCUUGAGUACGGAAGAGGCGAGUGGAAUUCCUGGUGUAGCGGUGGAAUGCGCAGAUAUCAGGAGGAACACCGAUGGCGAAGGCGGAUCUCUGGGCCAUUACUGACGCUGAGGAGCGAAAGCGUGGGGAGCGAACAGG